UGCAUAUCCCAAAAGCGGAGGAAAAGAAACCAACAGGGAUUGCCUUAGUAGCGGCGAGUGAAGCGGCAAAAGCUCAAAUUUGAAAUCUGGCUCUUUCAGAGUCCGAGUUGUAAUUUGAAGAAGGUAUCUUUGGGUCUGGCUCUUGUCUAUGUUUCUUGGAACAGAACGUCACAGAGGGUGAGAAUCCCGUGCGAUGAGAUGAUCCAGGCCUAUGUAAAGUUCCUUCGAAGAGUCGAGUUGUUUGGGAAUGCAGCUCUAAGUGGGUGGUAAAUUCCAUCUAAAGCUAAAUAUUGGCGAGAGACCGAUAGCGAACAAGUACAGUGAUGGAAAGAUGAAAAGAACUUUGAAAAGAGAGUGAAAAAGUACGUGAAAUUGUUGAAAGGGAAGGGCUUGAGAUCAGACUUGGUAUUUUGUAUGUUACUUCUUCGGGGGUGGCCUCUACAGUUUAUCGGGCCAGCAUCAGUUUGGGCGGUAGGAGAAUUGCGUUGGAAUGUGGCACGGCUUCGGUUGUGUGUUAUAGCCUUCGUCGAUACUGCCAGCCUAGACUGAGGACUGCGGUUUAUACCUAGGAUGUUGGCAUAAUGAUCUUAAGUCGCCCGUCUUGAACCCACGGACC
rnacentral:rRNA from 1 species